rnacentral:rRNA from 1 species
AACGAACGCUGGCGGCAUGCCUAACACAUGCAAGUCGAACGAGACCUUCGGGUCUAGUGGCGCACGGGUGCGUAACGCGUGGGAAUCUGCCCUUGGGUUCGGAAUAACAGUUGGAAACGACUGCUAAUACCGGAUGAUGACGUAAGUCCAAAGAUUUAUCGCCCAAGGAUGAGCCCGCGUAGGAUUAGCUAGUUGGUGAGGUAAAGGCUCACCAAGGCGACGAUCCUUAGCUGGUCUGAGAGGAUGAUCAGCCACACUGGGACUGAGACACGGCCCAGACUCCUACGGGAGGCAGCAGUGGGGAAUAUUGGACAAUGGGCGAAAGCCUGAUCCAGCAAUGCCGCGUGAGUGAUGAAGGCCCUAGGGUUGUAAAGCUCUUUUACCCGGGAUGAUAAUGACAGUACCGGGAGAAUAAGCUCCGGCUAACUCCGUG